AUUAGAAAUAUAUUAAUCAUAUUUACAGAAAGUGCCCAGAAAAGUGUGGCUUUCAUCUCUCUUCUUCUUGAACGCACAACAAUAAAUGGAAUUGCAGAAAUUUUCUUCGAGAUCGGAGUUGGAGCAGAAUCGAGCAGUGGCUUAAAUUGAUCUGUGAACCAGGCGCAAGGUACUGUGGAUUUGAUCCUUUGAAGGCUUAGUACAUCACGGCGAAAUUUCUGCUCUGAAAUGGCGUCCCUUCUCAGCCCAUCAACGCCGCCAUCCGCCAUUCAUCUGAGACGAAAGGUGAAUCUUCUCGAUUUCAGUUCUUUAUCUACAAAUCAUUCAUUAAAAGUUUAUGGGAAAAUUGGAAGGACUGGUGGCUAUCAUGGAAUUUGCCUUACAACAAGGGCCAAGGGGGGUAUUGAACAAGACGUGCUUGAGAAAGAUAAAGAGCCAAUUGAAAUUGACGUUGACAAUGAUUAUGGAGCGGUUGGCGUUCACCACGUUGGAGUGCUUUGUGAGAAUCUCGAGAGGUCACUUCACUUCUAUCUAAAUAUUCUAGGUCUUAAAAUAAACGAAGCAAGGCCACACGAUAAGCUUCCUUAUAGAGGUGCUUGGUUGUGGGUGGGUGCUGAGAUGAUUCAUUUAAUGGAGCUUCCAAAUCCUGAUCCUUUAUCUGGACGACCUGAACAUGGAGGCCGUGAUCGUCAUACUUGUAUUGGAAUUAGGGAUGUAUCGAAGUUGAAAGUGAUCCUUGAUAAAGCUGGUAUUCCCUAUACGCUUAGCAAGUCAGGAAGGCCAGCAAUCUUUACAAGAGAUCCAGAUGCAAAUGCUUUAGAAUUUACUCAACUCGAUGGGUAAUUCUAUCAACACCUAUGAGCUUUCAUUGCUUAUGAAGAACCUCAGGAUCUUCAGAUCACUGAAAAGGGUAUUUUUUCGAUUUAAUAGAAUUUAGUCAAGAACUCGUAGGAUAUUAAAUGUGUUGUGUACUCUUAAUUUUCAAAAAAUACUGAAGCUUACAGGACGUGGAUUGUAGAGACCCAAUCGUCAGACGGGCAGUGGAAAGGUAUUUGUAGAUUGUGUUGAUAUAGAUUCGAUGUAUUAUUUACCUAAUGUUGUCAUAGAAUUAACAAAGAAUUCGAGGAGUUUUGUAUGGUCAAUAAUAUUGUGAUUGUCCUAUUGAAUAAUGUCCUUUGCGGUCAGGGAGUUUUGUAUGACCUAUUGUGAUUGUCCUAUU